UUACCCCUGCUGUGCGCGUGAUUGGAAAAUGUGCUUUGACCCAACAUUUUCUUAAACGGGAGCCAAGUCUGAUUUCGGUGUGCAAGUUCUGCAUGUACAGAAAAGCCUAAAGAAGUCGCAAGGCGCCCACUUGCCUUUUUGGAUCAAAGGCCAUCCCAACACGGCAAUUCGGUGGGGGUACC
rnacentral:other from 1 species